CACUGCACGCAAGUGCGAUAAGGGGACUCCGAGUGCGAGGGCAUAUAGUCCUCGCUUUUCUGUACCGUAGGAAGGUACAGGAAUAAGGGCUGGGCAAGACCGGUGCCAGCCGCCGCGGUAAUACCGGCAGCCCGAGUGAUGACCGAUUUUAUUGGGCCUAAAGCGUCCGUAGCUGGCCAAGCAAGUCUGUCGGGAAAUCCAUCCGCUCAACGGAUGGGCGUCCGGCGGAAACUCCUUGGCUUGGGACCGGAAGGCUCGAGGGGUACGUCUGGGGUAGGAGUGAAAUCCUGUAAUCCUGGACGGACCACCGAUGGCGAAAGCACCUCGAGAAGACGGAUCCGACAGUGAGGGACGAAAGCUAGGGUCUCGAACCGGAUUAGAUACCCGGGUAGUCCUAGCUGUAAACGAUGUUCGCUAGGUGUGGCACAGGCUACGAGCCUGUGCUGUGCCGUAGGGAAGCCGAGAAGCGAACCGCCUGGGAAG
rnacentral:rRNA from 1 species